AGAGAGAGACUACAUGUCUGCAUGUGUGUUUUUUUAAGAAAAAUUCAUUGUUUCCCCGUGGAAAAUCAUUAUCCACGUGGAAUGCCAUAUAAACAGGUUGAUUGCCAAAUACUUGAAAUUUUUGACCGAGUGAUCUAUUUGACACAUUUUCAUCUUUGAGUAAUUAAAUUGAAACGUUUUGACUUUCGAUGUGUAAAUUGAAAGAAACACCAUCUGUCUGUGUGCAAAAAUGUAAUUUACCUGUUAAAAUCUCUUUAUAGAUAUUGUUGAUCGUGACUAAGAGUGCUUUGUUUUUGAUGGAUAUCAAGAACCACUUCCAGCUGUGCACGGCGAAUUAUCAUAUAUGGAUAUCAAAAGGAUCUUCUUUGAUCGUUCUUGCAAUGACCCAUAUCAUGGAUUUGACCUGUAAAGUUUACGAAGGUUAAGGGACUUUCCAGAUGGGACCAUUGUGCAGGCAAACAAAGUGGAGGAUGGGCAAAUUCUGGAUCACCUAAAAAUAUCAAAUUUGAUUCACCUGUACGGGUGUGUGGUAGAGGAAGAUCUGUAGCGACAUCGUCUUCGUAGCUUCAACACGGGUGUGCGGCAGGGGAAGAUUUUCAUUGGCAUCGUCUUCUGUUCUCGGGAUCAAUCUGUGUGGGUGUAGUCGGCUACGCGCAUUUGGCGGAGGUAUUUUUUGGUGUCGUCGUUUGUUGAGGUUAGUUUGAGUUUUAUUUCGUUGUAAUUACAAUGGACUUUGGUUGAAUUCUUCAGUUAUUUUUGAUGCAUUAUUCAUUUGAGUUUGGUGUAUUUUUUGGUUUGUUUUUCUUUUUCUGAUUCCUUAUGCAACAAAGAAGAAUGGCAUGGAGAUAUCUCUAUUGAUCGUCGCUUGCAUCUCUAACUUCGCCUGAAAAGUAGUCAUUUAAAAAGUGAAACUCCUCUUUUAGAAUCAAUUUGACCUUUUCUUUGGUCACUAAUUUGCUUUGAUGGCUGACUGGCAGCAAACAGACGAGGUUAACAGCUAUUUGCAAGGUAAGUGGUGUCCCUUCUCAAGAGAAUUGAAUUGGUUUAUACAUCACCUUUGUUAAGGUACGGCUUUUCCAGACCUUGCUAUAUUUGAAUAUGAUCUUUUGGAUUUUACACUUAUUGUUGUUUAAUUCUUGCAAUACAUGACUACCCUUGGAAGAACUUGGUUGGGAACCCACCCGAUGCCUCCAGAGUCUUUGGUCCUUCCUUUAGGCCUUAUAGUGCAUCCAGAUUGGUGAAUUUUUUCGUUUCUCUAAAGCAAAAAUCCUACAAAGUGGGCAAUAUUCAUUUGAGAACUGAAGAAAAUACUGUGUUUAGGUGGGUACUGAUUGAUAUUACAUCGAAGUUACAAAUGUUACGAAUAUUCUCCUGAAGGUCAAUGCAAAGGGGCCAACUAAGAAGGAGCAAAUUGAUGUUCAAGGAGACAUAAGCUAUGAUGUUGUGCCUUAAGUAAUUAAAUCUUCAUUUUCCUUUGUUUCUUAUCAGAAGUAUCAAAUAGUGUUUCUGAAUUUUGGUUUGUGUUACCUUCAAAACUUUUGCCCAAGUCCUUUUGAAGAGUUGAUCAAAUGUGGUCUGCAAUACAAGUCUCCGCUUUUAUUACAGUAGUUCUUAUUACUCUCAACAGUAUCUAAAUACAUGACAUUGAUGUUGAUUGUUCAAGAAAUCAACUUGAACAACACAGAUUGGAUCACUAUUUCA